CAGAGACCAAUAGAAAUAUAUAAAGCUUUAUAAAGAGCUAACAAAUUGAUACAAUAUUCCCUAUGAUAUGGAGAUCAUGAUAACCUAGAAAGCCCAAAAUUGAUGUGCAUGUAAUAGGAUAGUCACCAGCACAGAUUGAAGAUAAUCUGUAAAAUAAAAAUAAAAAAAAAUCUAAAUUAACAGAUUGAGGUCAUAUUCCUGAUUGAGUAAUUUUGGAUCCAAGGUGUAGAGUUCCUUAAUCCAAUCAGCUGUCUGUCUCCACAUCUAAAUAUUUCUUCAACAUGCUCAAUGAUGCGCCUCUGAG